AGUGAACGCUGGCGGUAGGCCUAACACAUGCAAGUCGAACGGCAGCACAGUAAGAUCUUGCUCUUACGGGUGGCGAGUGGCGGACGGGUGAGGAAUACAUCGGAAUCUACUUUUUCGUGGGGGAUAACGUAGGGAAACUUACGCUAAUACCUCAUACGACCUACGGGUGAAAGCAAGGGUUCUUCGGACCUUUCGCGAUUGAAUGAGCCGAUGUCGGAUUAGCUAGUUGGCAGGGUAAAGGCCCACCAAGGCGACGAUCCGUAGCUGGUCUGAGAGGAUGAUCAGCCACACUGGAACUGAGACACGGUCCAGACUCCUACGGGAGGCAGCAGUGGGGAAUAUUGGACAAUGGGCGAAAGCCUGAUCCAGCAAUACCGCGUGGGUGAAGAAGGCCUUCGGGUUGUAAAGCCCUUUUGUUGGGAAAGAAAAGCAGCAGGUGAAUACCCCGCUGUUCUGACGGUACCCAAAGAAAAAGCACCGGCUAACUUCGUG
rnacentral:rRNA from 1 species